ACACAUGCAAGUCGAGGGGCAGCGGGAUUGAAGCUUGCUUCAAUUGCCGGCGACCGGCGCACGGGUGAGUAACGCGUAUCCAACCUUCCGUACACUCAGGGAUAGCCUUUCGAAAGAAAGAUUAAUACCUGAUGGUAUGAUGAGAUUGCAUGAUAGCAUCAUUAAAGAUUCAUCGGUGUACGAUGGGGAUGCGUUCCAUUAGGUAGUAGGCGGGGUAACGGCCCACCUAGCCUACGAUGGAUAGGGGUUCUGAGAGGAAGGUCCCCCACAUUGGAACUGAGACACGGUUCAAACUCCUACGGGAGGCAGCAGUGAGGAAUAUUGGUCAAUGGACGAGAGUCUGAACCAGCCAAGUAGCGUGAAGGAUGAAGGUCCUACGGAUUGUAAACUUCUUUUAUAAGGGAAUAAAACCUCCCACGUGUGGGAGCUUGUAUGUACCUUAUGAAUAAGCAUCGGCUAACUCCGUGCCAGCAGCCGCGGUAAUACGGAGGAUGCGAGCGUUAUCCGGAUUUAUUGGGUUUAAAGGGAGCGCAGACGGGUCGUUAAGUCAGCUGUGAAAGUUUGGGGCUCAACCUUAAAAUUGCAGUUGAUACUGGCAGUCUUGAGUGCAGUAGAGGUGGGCGGAAUUCGUGGUGUAGCGGUGAAAUGCUUAGAUAUCACGAAGAACUCCGAUUGCGAAGGCAGCUCACUGGAGUGUAACUGACGCUGAUGCUCGAAAGUGUGGGUAUCAAACAGGAUUAGAUACCCUGGUAGUCCACACAGUAAACGAUGAAUACUCGCUGUUUGCGAUAUACAGUAAGCGGCCAAGCGAAAGCAUUAAGUAUUCCACCUGGGGAGUACGCCGGCAACGG
rnacentral:rRNA from 1 species